UUAAAUUUGAAACCGAUAUAUGAUGAAGGCUCAUAUCCGGAUCCUCGCUGGAUUCGUUUCCCAACAGAACACCCUUUUCUCUGUAUCUCUUUCCUCGAUGUAACUUUCUGCAAUCAACUGAGCCAGGGUUUCCGAGUUGCCAUGGCCGAUUUCCAGAGCUCGACUCACCGAGCCAGGUGGAUCUUCACUCCCGAAGAACUGGCUGGUAAAUACAAGGCUGCUAAUCAAAGAGCAAUGCAAGCAUUGGAGAAGGUACGUAUGGAGUCUUGCUUUCGUUGGGAGUGUGUUUAUAGACCGGUAUAAGUCGUUGCAAGUGAGUUUUAGUUUAAUCGAAGCAUGUCAUUAAUAUUCUUCAUGCGAACGUGGUUUAUAGCUGUUUGUUUAACUUAUUUGCUGGUAUGAGAGCGUAUGUACUAAUGCAUCGAGUGUACCUUAUUAGAUAGUUUAAGGAGACGUUUACUAGCUCAGGUGACUGGCGGAGGAUGUGUUGAUUGAAAUUAGGGCAAUGUCUCAAAUUAUUGGUUUAAAGAUAUCAUUAUACCUUUCUACCAAUGCAUGUGUUUUUGUAUGUCAUUUGUAGUAUUUCUUGUCCAAGAUGUUCACAUUUUGUCCCAUAGGAAAAGAGUUAUUUUUCUGCAAAUUGGCUUGACUAAUGGAAGUAGACGUUGAUGGAACAUUGUCAUACCCGAAACCCCAAGUUAAUGCCGAUUCCCGUCCAAAACCCAUUAGCAUUGAAGAGGAGCAAUUUAUGCGAGUAUUUUAUGAGAACAAAGUUCAAGAAGUUUGUACCAACUUUCACUUUCCGCAUAAAGUUCAGGCAACGGCUCUCAUAUAUUUCAAGAGGUUUUAUCUACAGUGGUCGGUGAUGCAACAUCAUCCAAAAACUAUAAUGUAGAAGUUCACUAAGAUGUUGAGACAUGUGCACAGGUUAACCUGUAUAACCACGUAUCAGUAGAGGAGCUUGGUAAGGGAAUCUCACAGGAUCAUCAAAUGAUUCUCAGUAAUGAGAUAAUAAUUUAUCAGGCAUGACUUUGGAAUUUGAUCUUAUUGUUUAUGCACCAUACCUCUCAAUUGAAGGAUUUGUCAAUGAUAUUGAAGAAUUCUGCAGAUUAGAGGAUAACCAGCUCCAAUAUCUGAAGGGGCAGCAAAGACGGAAGUUGAUAAAAUCAUGCUCACAGAUGCACCACUCCCUUUCCCUCCUGGGCAGGUUUGCAGAGUUGCCGACUUUGAGAGAUACCUGAGUAGCAUUCUCUCUCGGCAGAGUUCUGCGCAUACUAUUUCAGAGCUAGUCAAAUUCCUUAACGCAAUCGAUUCUUGGGCAAAAAGAUACAAGUUUCCUUCGGACAAGGAUCUCAAGCACAUCAAUCGGAACCUGAAGUCUUGUUGGGGUCUUAGUACGCAUGACGAGAGCAAGAAGCGGGAUAAGAAAUCAAAGCACAAGUCGAAAAGGAGUUCAAAUGAAGCACAAACUUAAAAGCAUCACCAACCCAAUUGAACCGGGUCCAGCAUUGAAUUGGGUCGGGUCGGGUCGGGUUUGGGUAGGUGGAAGACAUUGUUGCUCCUGAGACAGACACGACGACCCCGACAAGUAGAAACGACGCCGUCCAACGUUUCAUCUCCUUGUUACUGCCCUCUGCUACACCCUGAGAAGCAGAAAGAAGGGGAUUCAAAAGUCGAAAGCUUCAAUGGCGUGCCUUGUCUCGACGACCCUCUCUCUCCCUCUCUCUGCUUCCCAUAGCUUUGAAAAGGGAAUAGCUCCAAGAAGAUUAUCACUGGUGGUCAGACUUUCAAACCAACCAAUUUCAGAAACAGCUGCAAAGCCUUCCGCCUCCAGCAGGACAAAUAAAGCCAUGUCAACUUCGAAUCAGAGUUGUCAAGAUCAUCUUCGGACACCCUCGAAACUUCUUUUUGAAAUUAUGUCUUGUUAUAGGAAUGUACACUCUUGUAGCCACACGAUCAUAUUUGGUUUUUGGGUUGGACCUGAUAUUGAUGAUGGUUGGGGCUAUGUGGAAGCUUUUGUUAAUCCAAUCACUUGAGUACUUUUCGCUAUUCCAUGUU